rnacentral:tRNA from 1 species
GUCGUUCUAGUAUAGUGGUGAGUAUUCCCGCCUGUCACCCGGGUGACCCGGGUUCGAUUCCCGGUGACGGCG